UUGGAUCGACAAUAAAAGUUGAAGAAUAUUAGAAAAGUUCCUCAAGUAACGUUUACUCUUGUUUGAAUCAAAAUAUAUGUUUUACGUUUAUUUUUUCAUGUAACAAGAGAAUGUAAUUGAUUGAUAAUGACAUAGUAAUUGUGUAAUGUAAACCUUUUGUGCUUUCUUUAGAAAAAAAUAAAAAAAUACUUGCUUUAACUGCGUACAAUUAAUAAUGGCGAAGUCACAAGUGAAAUUAAGUUGACGACGGGAAAUGCUGGUCCAAUCGAAGCACAAAAAAAGAUAUUUCUAUCUUGCACAACUUAGACUGAUUGAACCAGAAACAUUUCAACUUAAACAUUUAUGUGUGAAAUUUGUGAAAAGCUUCGCAAGAGCAAAAGGUCAAACGUCUAAAUCGGAAGCGUUAUUUUUCUUCCUUAAUCUAAGCAUUGCCUGGCAGUAUAUAGUUAUGUUGUAACACGGUGUUUAAUUAACUGGUGCAAGCAAUGUCAACGGAUGUACAGCCUCAUGUCGGCAAGUACUGAGCAAGUGCUGAAGUAUUAACACAAAUUCUUACUGCAUGUCUGGGAGUUUGUGCUGAAGUUGUACGUAGCACGAAUUUAUGGUCUCUUUUUCUUGUAUGUGUCUUAAAUUUUUCCUCCUUUUUUUGCUCCAAAUAACUGUAGUUUGGGUAUAGGAGCAAAGUCUAUAUAUAAACUGCAUAUGUAUUGCUGAUCGUUUAUGAUUCUAAUGCUUUUAUAUACAUAUUGUAGCGAUUAUAAAAAGCUUCCAGAGUGACUUUAGUUUACUGGUAAUUAGAACUAAAGGAUUGUCUAAAUAACAUUGCACUUCUGCACCAAUUUGGAACACAAACGUACUCUUUUUUAUGAAAAAAAAUUUAAAAUUUCAACC